GCCUCUGUAGCUCAGCUGGUAGAGCAACUGACUUGUAAUCAGUAGGUCGUCGGUUCGAUCCCGUCCGGGGGCUCAA
rnacentral:tRNA from 1 species